rnacentral:rRNA from 1 species
CAGCAGCCGCGGGAAUACGUAGGUGGCAAGCGUUGUCCGGAAUUAUUGGGCGUAAAGCGCGCGCAGGCGGAUCAGUUAGUCUGUCUUAAAAGUUCGGGGCUUAACCCCGUGAGGGGAUGGAAACUGCUGAUCUAGAGUAUCGGAGAGGAAAGUGGAAUUCCUAGUGUAGCGGUGGAAUGCGUAGAUAUUAGGAAGAACACCAGUGGCGAAGGCGACUUUCUGGACGAAAACUGACGCUGAGGCGCGAAAGCCAGGGGAGCGAACGGGAUUAGAUACCCCCGUAGUCCCUGUCUCUUAUACA